GGGGCUGCUGAGCUGAGGUCGGCGGCGCCGCGGGGUCCGGGGCCGGCUGUGCCGGCAGCUGCACCCGCAGGAGCAGGAGCAGGUGCAGCAGGUGCAGCAGGUGCAGCAGCGAGGACCCGCGCGCGGGCGGCAGCGGCGACACCAUGGAUCUGUCCUUUAUGGCCGCGCAGCUGCCCAUGAUGGGAGGCGCCUUCAUGGACUCGCCCAACGAGGACUUCAGCACGGAGUACUCCCUCUUUAACUCCUCCACCAACGUCCACGCGGCCUCCAACGGCCAGGGCCAGCUGGAGGAGCCCCCGCGGUCCUCCAACGACGCCGUCUUGCUCUGGAUUGCCAUCAUAGCGACACUGGGGAACAUUGUGGUGGUUGGGGUGGUGUACGCCUUCACCUUCUGAGGUUCGGGCGCCCACGAGCUCCGGGCCGGCUCACCCCGUACUGGGCUCACGGCAGGGCCAGGCUUUGCUCGGGGCACCGGCACUGUUGGCCUUUGGCUGUGCCCACAUUCUGGAACCAGGAGCUCUGACCACACACACAGCCUCUCCGGGGGCAGCGACCCUGCAGGGUCGGGAAUUCCCCCAAGCAGCCCUGAUUUCCAAAUUUUCCUUGCUGUGGUCAAGCUGAUCCAGAAAACACGGGAGCGUGAGCUUCCAGCCCCUGGAGGCGUGAUGGGGCAAAGACUUCGAGGAGCAAAUUGGAAGAUUUUUGAAACCAUAUUCCAAAAAGGUAAGACCAGAGGAAACAGCCAGUUAGGUGUGAAAUAUGGACAUGGUUGGACGAUCGCUUGCUGGCAGUAAAUAAUCACAUAUGUGUCUUGUUUUUAUGCCAACUUACACCCCUGGUGUGUGGGGUGCCGGGCAAGAGCAGCCCUCAGAACUGGCGUGUUCCCAGCCCAGCCUUGGUCUCCCACUCAGCCCUCUGGAAUACCGGUGGUGGUUACUGGGCCAUAGAACAUUCCUCGUGUGACUUGGACAGGGCACCUCUGUCACCAGACACUUGGCCCCUUUUGAGACCCGGAUGCAUCGGGAAAUCCAAGGCUGGGGAAUUACUGGUGACGUGGUGAGAUUUCCCGGGGUGGGGGGUUCUCUGCUGGACGGACUUGCUCUUCUUUUUAAAAAGAGAAGCAGCGCCUUUAAAACUGCAGAUCUGCCAAGUAGUCAAGUCUUCAGACCACCUGCCUGAAGAUGCUCUUUCUCCUCUGAGCAAUCACGGGACUUUAGGGAUGGCGGGCUCAUGCCCACCUGAUCUUCCGACGGAUGGGAGGGAGAGGGCGAUUGGCCUGUGAUCACAGGGCAGGGUGCUGGAGCCCCCGGGGCAGGAGGGACUCUUCCUGACUCACUGGGCUCUCUCAGCCCCAAGGAAGCACUGUCUUAAGCAAAUUCCUACUUCUCAGCUGUCCUCGGGGAGAAUGCCUAUGGGGUCUGGAAGCUGUGUGCCAGGUGGGCAGGGUGCUCAGACUCCUGCAUUGUACCCUGGGUUUGGCGACCGUGUUCCCCUGCAAGUGGGGACGAGCUCUGUCCGAGUCAGCCUCCUUGCAUUCCUCCAAGCCAGUGGCUGGGGGGUCUGGGAAGCAGGGGAGCCUCCUGCAAAGACCAGAACAGGAUGGGAGGCACUGGGAGAGAGGGGCAGCACGGAAAAGGACUCGCUCUUCUGUCCUUAGGAAAGGCCCCUGCACGGUACCUCCCUUCCCCAGGUGGCUCCCCUGUGCCCAGCAGAGUGGGAGAGGCUCACAUGCGGGCUCCCUCACUUACAGGCCAGGAGUGGCUUUCUCCUUGCCCCCCUGCUCCCCCGUGCCGUGCAAAAGAAAAUAAAUGCUCUAAACGUCCCCUAUGUGGUUGAGAAACUUAAAAGCCUGGGUGGGAACCUGUGGUGCUGUUUGGGGACAAUUGCAAAAAGGCUAAUUGUGUGUCCCUGUGGUCUCAGGAGAAAUGAGUGUUCCUGAUGACAGGCAAAGGGACAUCUUAAUUGUCCAGAGGCAGUCAUUCGCCUGCGAGGUUGGCGCUGAGCUGCUGUGAUAACAGGAUUACCAGCCCAACCUCCAGACAGCGUUAGCAGACGGCCGCCAGUUCUGUUUAGCCACAUCUGUCACUGUGGCUGUGCACGCGUGCACAAAUGCUGUGGCUCAAGUGGAGGUCACGAGCGCAGAGAGCCAGCGUGACCCUUGCAGAGAGGGACCUUGUGCCUGGGCUCCUUCUGGAAUCACUGACAGGGCUGUGCUCUCCGUGGGACCAAGCCGGGGGCUGGGCUGCGUGACUAGCCAUGGCGUGGCUGUCACCCCGGCUACUUCUCUAGCAAACUCUUCUCCGUCCCAAGCCCCCACGUGUGCCCAAUCAGCAAGGGCUUUUCUUAUACAGGUGUCUUCAGGAGAACCCAAGGAGGAGGUCCAGAGCCAGGAUGGGGAACCAAGGUGAUGCUUGGUGUCUUUGUGGGGGUCACUCUGGCCCAGAUAUCUUGAUUCCUUACCUUCUGACCCCACAGCCUCAAAGGAGCCCUGUGAAGAGGCAGGUGACAGCUCCCUGUCCUCCAAAUGGCCUGCGGCAGUGGCAGUGGGAGAGAGGGUUCUGUGUGCUGUGACAGAGGAGGAGCAGAGAGUGUGGUCCUAGCUCUAAGGAAAGACUCCACGUAUCCAGGGCAGCCCUGGCGGGCCGGGUGUUCUCUGGGUAAUUCUGGGCACAGGGGUCUCCCCCGUGAAGGCUUUCAUUUCCCCUGGCAUAAAUGCCAGUUAAAUUCAACUUCCAAAUAUUUCUCUCUCUUCAGUGUCAGGACCACAGACACAGGACCUGGAGCUUGAGGGACCAUCUUAUUCAAACUGCAUUCUACGAUUGUCCCAGUCUCCUACAGUAUUUUUAUCCAUUUUUUUUUUCCCACCACCACUUAGAUAACAACAAGGAUAGAUGUGCAUGAGAAUGUCCAAUUAAGGGUAAAGGACAGAUUUCCAGCCAGAGAGGGUGCUGUGCUGUCCCGCCUGCCUUACUUAGCUCGGCUCUGUCUUGGGUGUUAGGUAACAGGCAGGCACCGGGCUAGAGACGCACAUGUAUGUGUUUAAUCUGGAUGAUUACCUCACAGCAUCAUUGCUCCAGUACGUAGAUAUGGAACCAGAAGCUCAGAGGGGCGGAGAGCUUACCUGAGUCCACACAGCAUGAAAGUGGCAAGCUGAGAUUUGAGUGUGGACCCUCCGGCUCUAAAGCCAGCCUCGUGCUGCUGCACCAUGCUGCCGUCAGUGGCUGGGUGGCACCUCCAGGGUACAUUUAAACAAGGCUCUGGGUCUACAGAGGCCAUUCCCCAAGGCCCCAUGUCAUGGUGUGGCCCGGGCCAGCUCUGGCUUCCUCCACAGGUAGAAGUCUGAUCGUCCCCCGAAUGGGGCAUGCUCGUCCCCCUGCCCAUUGCCCUCUCUUUGUUUAAGCUUCAGGGAUGGGGCCCUGUUACCUGCCCCUCUCUUUAAAAUUGAACACAAGAGUUUUUGUGUGGCCAGAGAAGUUACUAGAGAGCAGCUUUCUUGGGAGACGUGCAGAAGGACCCUGACCAUGACCUAGAGCCCAACAAAGGGGCUCAUGCAAGGAGGGAGGCUCAGGCAGCCAGAACCGCCGAGGAGGGUCAGGGUGGUCCGUGUUGUGGGUGAGGCUCCAGCCCAGGCUCAGGCCUUCUGUUGAGACCCUCUCCCAAGCAGGCAGGAUGGAGGCUCCUGUCUCACGCCCCAGCCUGGGGCUCCCACCUGGCUUCACCUGGUCACAGAGAGAGAGAGGCAGAGACAUAGGCAGAGGGAGAAGCAGGCUCCAUGCACUGGGAGCCCGACAUGGGAUUCGAUCCCGGGUCUCCAAGAUCGCGCCCUGGGCCAAAGGCAGGCGCUAAACCACUGCGCCACCCAGGGAUCCCAGGAGCUGCUCUUCAGAGAAGGGGUCCUGCAUUUGCUGGAAUGUUCCCCAUGCUUGGGCCUCUGACAUGCCUCCCAUCUUCCCUCUGCAAGCCACAGGUGUCCGUACCUGUGUUUGUUUGCAUGUGGGACACUUCACUGAACAAAGCAACACCUGCUUUAGGAGGGCUGGAGCCACUGUCACGGGAGCUUUGGAGGAGAGGCCAGAGGACACGUUAGCCAGGUGUGUCCCGAGGAGAUUCCACCUCCUGCAUGGGCCUGGGUGGGGUGAUUGCUCUGCUGUCCCUCCCUUUUCCCUGAGAUCAAGGUCAAGAGGCAGGUGAGAGUUUCCUGCCCUCCCCUGCCCUCCAGAGAGAGAUGAUUGUAUCUUCUUUCAGGAGAUCCCUGGGAUCGGAGGGAGAAAGUUAGGGAGGGCAGGCUGGUACCACUUGGCUGGGGAGGCAAUAAGCCAUUUUCCAGCCUGUUCCAAAUGGAAGGCCUGGAUGCCGGCCAGACCACUAGCGUAUGUUGGAAUCCCUCCCUGGAGACUGGAGAAACUCGGCCAUCGUCUGCUGUGCGCCUGACUCCUUCCAGACAAAUGCUCCUGUCCUUCCUCAGGAGCAUGACCUUCUUUCAUCAUUAGCAGUGAUAUUAUUGAUAAUUAUUAUCCUUACUGUGCUCAUCUAUCGUGCAUCUUCCUUGUGCUGUGCUCUGUUUGUAUCCCAUUGACUUCUCAACCCAUCCCUGAGAGGCAGAAGUGAGGUGCAGAGAAGGGCACGUUAAUUAUCAUCCCCCCUUUUUUUCUGCUGAGAAAACUGAGGCCAGACCAGUGCGUCUGAGAACCCACAUCUAGAGAGCUGUGAUUCAGAUCCGCCGCUGCUGGCUCCCCAGGCUGGGUGGCUACCCGGCGUCUCCCUGCGUGCACGCUCUCCACCGUGAACCCUCUGGAACGGACCGACCCAGGACGGGGACUCCGAGGCUGGGGCUGUUUGGGUCCUGGAUCAAGGAUUUCAAGUGUAGGUCCUGGAAGGGGGACAGGAGCAUGUGCACAUGUUGAGCAGUCUGAGAACCUCCCAGCAGUAAAGAAGCAUUAGAGAGCCCCCAGUGAGGACCUGUAAUGUCAGGGCGGGUAAAGGGGUGGAGAACUGGCAGGUCCCCGGCUGCCUGGCCCAGGACACCAUCUCCCAGCCUGCUGGGCAGUCACCGGGGAGUGCAGGGCUGGCCCUGGGUUGCCAGCACCAGCCCCAGGACCAGCAUCGUGCUCUCUGCCAGCUGUCCCCCGGCACCCUGGGCCGUGUCCUGGCACGUGCCCUUGACGCCCCCCCCCCCAGAAUGAAUGCUAGUUGGGCUGGGUGCCCUGAUGGAACAACCAAGCAGCUGUGCUCAGGGACCCCACAGGAACAGUCAGAGUCCCAUUGUCCUGUAGUGGCCUGCCCCACCUCUCCUGCCCUGCCUGCCCCAUGGGCCUCUGGCCUCGGUCAUUCCGUGACGGGGACAUGGGACAGGCCGGCUGAGCUGAAUGCUGAGAGCCCAGAGGGACAGAGUUCAUAAUCUCCAAGCGGAAAAGAAGGAGCCCCUCCAAGAGACUCAGGUCAUCAGAAUCAAGUAGGUGGCCAGAUGUCCCCGGAAAGUCACUUCUGGGAGAUUAGACCUUGGGCAUUUUCUUGCCUCUCUUUUUUUGGGGGGCGGGGCGGUGUGUGUGACAGAGGACAAAAUAGUGCAAACCACAGUGACUGAAGAGAGGAACGAUUCCCCCAGAGUGAGAAGAGGGCAGCUGUCAGGAGCAAAAUGGAAUGGUCGAAAUGUAUGAAAAAUUGGCUCCAUAGAUUUGGGAGUGUAAGUCUGUGUUGUUUGUUUUGAGUCACUGGGAAAGUCAUAAAUUGUUUUAUCAAGAGAGAUGAUAAAAGCAGAGGGAGCCCUGGGAGAGGCAGGACAGGCUGCGCGGUACCCCAGACGUACCCCGCACCCAUCCUUCGGCCAUGGUACGGACUUGCACCUGCUGGAACUCGAGCCAGCUGCUUUCAUGAGGCUCCAUCCUCUGGCCCUGGGUCCUUCCCGCCAUCCCAGGAGGGUGGCUGAGACCUGUCCUGCCUUGGGGUUAAAUCCUGACACAUCCCCAAGGCAUAUGUGCAGGGAACUUGUGUGUUGUGGCAGUUGGGGAAAUCCAGAGCCCUUAUUCUUCACCAUGUGGCUAAGCAGCCACCAGUGAUCCCGGGGGCUGUCCCACUACGGUCUUAAGGAACGAGAGAAUCACUGCACGUCCAGUCCAAAGCAUUGUCCCAGCAAUCUGGGUGAUUCUGACCAGGGCUCUGUAUGCUGGUAGGAAGGGAGUUUCCAAACGUUCACACUUCGGGGGGACGGAGUCUCUGAGAGGUUUGUGAGAGCUUGGGCUGGUCGGCAGGAGCCCAGGGCAUCCAUGUAGCAACGUUUCUCCACCAUUAUGCCAGUGGUUCUCAAUCUUGGAAGAUUCUGUCCUUUCGGGGGAUCUUUGGCAAUGUCCGGAGACAAUUUUGGUUUUCACAACUUGGUGGGGGGUGACCUUCUACUGGCAUCUAGCGGAUAGGAGCCUGCGAUGCUGUUGAGCACCCCCAACAACACAGAAUGAAUGAACUGGCCCCAAAACACCAAUUGUGGUGAAAUGGGGAAAGCCGGCGGUGGGCAAUGCUAGCUCCAAAGCUCUACCUUUCCCCCUUUUGUGAGUCGUCGAAUGCAUCAGAGCUCUUCUGGGCAACAGCAGGGAUCCCGGCUGCAGCCCUGAGGUCAGAUAAUCCCAGCAGAGGGCAGUGGCCUGCAGCCUAGCAAGUCUUGGGUAUCCAUGGACUCCCCAUUCCCACCACCUUGGGCUCUCAAGGGGAGACUCGGCCCGGAUGGAGGAAGCCCUACAAAGCGGAUGGGAAGGCGAGGCUGAACUUGUCCCAGUAGCUGUGGUCCCUGGGACCUGGAGGGACCUGACUUCUGCUGCAUCUGAGAAGCGCUUCUUGGGGGGGGGGGGGGGAGCAGGGAGCUUGGAAAGGAUGAGGAUGGGAGGGGCUGCCUAACAGCCUGUGGACAAACCUGCAUCUUAACCUUGUUUUUGACUCUCCAUGUGCCCCAUCCCACCCCCCCACCCCUGAUUGAAGGCAUAGUCACACUUUCUACUAUUUAAAGUUUUGCAGAAACCGUAUUGUAACGAGCCGCUCUCCAGACACCAGUUCUUCACGCAGAGAGAAUCAGAAACGUUUCUGUGUCUUACUAAUGUUUUCAUAAUCAACUUGUAAGUAGUUUACUUAAUUAAAAAAAAAGGUAUUUUAACUAUUCUUGUAACCCUUUGCUACUCAACACCCCCCACCCCCAGUUUUGCGAUGAGAUCACUAACUUUUACUACAGUGAAAAGACGAUUUCUUAAUGGAGGGCUUCAAGGCGCUCUUUGGUGAAAAAUAUCUAACCUUGAUGGAUGUAAAAAUGUGGCUGUGGAGUCGUGUCCGUUGUCAGCACUAUUGCUUUUGUCUUUUUCUAUUAUGAUCAUUAAACACAAAAA
rnacentral:lncRNA from 1 species